AUGAGCAGGUGCCCGGUGUGUGGGAUGGAGGAAGAAGAUAACUACCAUCCUUUCGUUAAGUGUCAGUUUGGUCGCGACCUCUACCUCACCAUGGCCAAAAUAUGGAUGAUCCCAGAGUUAGAAUCUAUGGUGAAUAACGGGAAGGAAUGGCUUCUUCAUGUCCUAGCGCAGUUGAAUGAUGUGGGACGGAUGAUGGUCGUGAUGAUUUUUUGGAGGAGUUGGUUUGUCCGGAACGAAGAGGCCUAUGUUAGAUUUCUUCGAAGCUACGUCGAUACCCUGAUUGGCAUCAAACUGAAUCCUCAAGCAGACCCGGCCAAAGUACCAGAUGGUAUUCAAGAUGCGCAAGACGAAGAUAUACAGCAGGUGGAUGCAAGGGGUCUUUGUGAUGACCAAGGCGCAAAAGAAGGAGGUGGGGUUGGCCAAGUUGAAGAACUAGAAAGGGAGGAACCAACUGAAUAUCCUUCACGAGGUCUCCGCAAUGACUCAGGUGUUGUUGUUAUUUUUUUCAUAGCCCGAGUGUUCCCUAGGAAGUUAUGCAAGCCUACAUACAUUACCAGACUGUCUUUCAAGCGUUGGAAUAAAACUGUUAAGAAGUUUAGUGACAUUCAAGAUGUUUCUGCUAUCCCUUCACUUGACUUUGGGCAACUGGCACUGGAUUUCAUGCGUGAGGAGUCAGAGCGUCACUUUGAAAUGAUCACGAACACACCAACUGUUGAGGAAAUGAACAAGUCUUCAUAUAUUGGGGGAUGUCUUCCUAUUUGGGGAAUCAUUUAUCUGGAUUUUGUUGAUUUUGAUGUUAUUGAGAAUCAUCAGUCAAAUGUGGAUUACUCUCUUCCUCGGAUAUCUCAUGUGAAGACUGAAGAUUUCAAGUAUCUUGCAAUGGUUGAUAGGAAUUAUGAGUUUAGGAAAAAUUACGGGGUUUUACCACUGCGCGGCAUAUCACGCACCCCAUAUGCCAAUGAGGCGCUUGUUAACAAUGCUCCUGAUGCUGCUGGUGUGUUUAAUUCAGUUCCUUAUGUGGAGGUCAACAAUGCCAAUAGUGUUCCUGAAGCUCUGAAUGGGAACACGUCAAUUGAUUCAAAAUGUCCUCAUAUCAUUUCAGAAGGUACCAGAUGCACUGCAAAAUUUGAACCAGGCGUAAAAGUGAAACCAGAGCCACAUUUGAAAUCAGAGGUUCCCUCCUAUGAUGUCUUUAAGCAGGAGCCAAUCGGACCGAAAUUUGAGAACAUUUCUGUCCUGAAUUCGGUGUACCAAACACCAAUUUUCCCUGUUCACGUUACACCUCUGAAUACCAACUCUGUUGAUCAAGCAACUACUUCACAACCUAAGCAUGAAGAAAUCUUUCUAUCGACUGAAGCAGUUGAUAUCAAAUUUUCUAGUGGAGUUAAUGCAAAAAGAAGUUUUAUAUUGAUUAGUUCCGCUUCUCCAAAUGAAAGAGUCGAGCGCUUCCAAGGGACUCCAAUCAUUAUUGAGGAUGAUUCUCCUAUCACACCUGCUGCUGCGACUAACGAAGACAUACCAGCCUCUCACUGUCAUACAAGUGUAGGAAUUCCAAUGAACAUGGACUUUGUUGACCAACGAGGCUAUUCUACAAUUAAUAAUGCAGAAGCUGGACCAAGUACAGGACAUAAUACAAUUGGAAAGAAGAACAGAAAAAAAGAGCAGCUAAACUUCAAUCUCCUGAUCCACCCAAGAAACUCAAAAUAUCUCGAGAACACACUUUUUGUUGACAUAGAGGGUUUUCCUGUAAGCUAUGAGAAUUACUUAAAUUCAUUUAAAGCGAGGGGUGAGAUUGGAGAUGAAGUGAUGAACUCAUUUAUUCAAGUUCUUAACUACGAAUCAAAGAUGUCAUCUAAAGUAAAGCCUUAUGUCAAGAAGUACUGUUUCACUUUGUACUUCACUAAUAAAUUGUUGGUUCCCCUUGAGUUAUUUGAUCCAGUUACGUGCAUACGAGAAUUUGAUAGGAUUAAUUCAGAAGAAAGCCUCUGGAAACAAGACUUGUUAUACUUCCCUACUAUAAAAUCAAACCACUGGGUUAUACUUUCCAUCAACUCUCUCUUCGAGAGAUCUCACUUUUUUGAUCCCUGUGGCACUAUUCUGGGAACUACCCAAGAAGAACUUGUCUACAACUUGUUCACAAAAUUCAAAUUUGGUUCAUCAAAUCACAGUUUCAGUUCAUUAAAUUCAUAUGCAAUUCACUUCAAUACAAACGAGUUCACUACUUUGGUUUAG
rnacentral:rRNA from 1 species